rnacentral:rRNA from 1 species
GGACAGAAAGACCCUAUGAAGCUUGACUGUAAUUUGUGAUUGGAUCUGGGCUUCUCUUGCGCAGUCUAAGUGGGAGGCAUUGAUGAAUUCUUUUCGGGGAAUUCUGAGCCGAUAUUGAGAGACCACUCUAGAAAAGUUAAGAUUCUAAAGAUAUUCCUUGAAUCAGGAUAUCUGACAGUCUCAGGUGGACAGUUUCACUGGG